rnacentral:lncRNA from 1 species
CUGUGGAAAUGGACAAAUUUAUUUGUGAAAUGGGUUAACUGGUUGUGCUUGGGAAUUUCUCUUUAUAUGAAAGGUUGGUCUAUUUAUGUUCAUCUAGUUUCCUUCUCAAAAUUUUCUCUCGCACUUCUGAAUUUUCUGGAGUAACUCUCAGUCAUAUGUCCUUGACUUCUUUUUUAUUUUCUUUUCCUUAAUUUCUGGCCUAUGAAGAACUCACAAUGUUUAAGCAUUCCUUGUUCUGAGGCUUACUGCUCCAUCCCUUCUCAUAAUCAAUUGCAUUUUUUUAAUUAAAAAAUUUUUUUAGAGAUUGAGUCUCACUAUAUUGCCCAGGCUGGCCUCCAUCUCUUGAACUCAAGCAAUUCCCUGGCCUCAGCCUCCCAAGUAGCUGGGACUACAAUCACACACCACUAUGCCUGGCUUACUUGCAUAUUUUUAAUCAUGUUUCCAAUCACCUUUUCUUUUCUUUCUCUCUCCACCCAAUACAUACAUUUCCAUCUCAAAUGUAGUAGGAUAUCAAAACUUUGGCUUGCUGAUUACAUGAUUAAAUUUUAAAGAAUGGAAUAAGCUCCUAGGUAAAAUGGCGAAAGAGUUCCCGAUUUUUUCAUGCUCAUUCAGAGCUGUUAAUUUUUCUAAAUUCUCCAGCCCUCAGAUGUAGGGCUUUAUCAAGAAAUGAGUUGUGAAUUGGCUGGAGAUAGCAAUACUUUAUAAACCAAGAGGGAAUACUUUAUAAACCAAGAAGGACUGGUGUUCUAGCAAUCUACUCAC